AAUCUACUCCCUCCGUCCUGAAAUACUUGUCGGGAAAAUGAAUGUAUCUAGACAUAUUUUAGUUCUAGAUACAUCCAUUUUUAUGCAUUUCUCCGACAAGUAUUUUCGGACGGAGGGAGUACCUU
rfam:Triticum aestivum genome assembly, contig: Triticum_aestivum_CS42_TGACv1_scaffold_030715_1BL